AUGUCUUUUCAAACAAACAGGUUUGUUUGAAAUCUUUUUGAACAUUACCUACUGUGUUAAAAAUAAUGCAGUUUCAGCUGAGAUUUUGAGCACCUCAUUAGGCUGUACCUAAUGAGCAGGUGUUCGGUGAAUUCUCUGAUUGACUCCAGAUCUAUAAGGCUACUGGUCUUCUAACCAUGAUGCAAAAUAGGUGUCAGAGCUCUCUAGUUAAAAAAGUAACUUCGAGUAGACAUUCUGCCUGUAGUUGGCAGUUUUGAACUGCUUGUUUUGGGGGUUAUUACACCCACCACCCACACAUGACAGGUUACUAUUUUUUCUCUCUCUUGAAAUAUUUUUAGGGGAUUAGUUGCUCAUUAAUAGCUGUUUACAUGGAUUUAUUCCUAUUUAUUGGGCUAUGUUAAUGAAUAAAUUAUCUGCAUUUUCUAGAUAGGAUUAGUUUCGAGUUUGUCUACUUAUAUGAGGGGAAAAUAAAUGCUUCAGUAAACACUAUAAAAACACUCUUUUGUAGAUUAGAUUCACCCAUUGCAGCAAAGCAUACAGUGCACUAGACAGGCUAUUUUUCAAAUUGCUCAGAUUGCAGAUAACUGCAAGACUAUUCCCAGACAGCAUCUAAAAUUCUUGGGCUUCUCUCUUUUGUUUUUCUUUCAGGCAUUGAAAUCUACAUUUUGUCCACCAAAAUGGUUAUGAAUGCUGUAACAUGGCAAAUGAGUUGAAAUUACCCCAGACUGUGAUCAGCUAGAGCAUUUACUACUGAUAGGAUCAUCCUUCUAAUGGUUAAUAAGUUGUAGCUGAAGCUGAUAGAGCUACGCACAACUAUCGUUGUCUGGGAUCACUCUUCUGUAAUCUCUGCAGGUUCCUCUGCAAAAGGCUAAUCCUAAAUUUAAGCAGGUCAAAACAGAAAAGCCCAUCUGGACUUGGAAGAAAACGUUUUUGGUACGCAUGGUCAAGCUGCUUCUAUAUGAAAUCCUGGCUAGAUUCUGCAACUGAAGUGCUGCAUUAAUCUCCCCUUUUUUAGCAGUGAUAAUAACAUGCUAAUAAAAACAUGUGAUGAGAGACUUGUAUUAUUUAG
rnacentral:lncRNA from 1 species